AGAAAAUUAGCAAUUAAAUUAAGAGACGUUUCUUAAUUAAGGUUCGGAAGAAACGUCUCUUGCAUCUCUCUCUCCGCUACUCAUCUCCUCCUUCACGAAUCCCAUCCUCUCGAUCUCUCCAAUAUCCCAUGGUUUCAUCGUAUCUUCUUCAAAUCUUCUCGUCUCUCUGUUUUCCUCGUAGAUCCCUCUGUUUUCCCUUUCUAUCCUUCACGACACGGCUGAGGAUCAGGGUUUGGGGCUUUUGCGUGUGAGUGAUUGGAAGAUGUGUUUGAUUAUGAGGUUGGGGCUGGAGAUGAAGGAAGGGUUGUUGUUGUGGUGGCUUUCGAGAGGGAUGACGGAGAAUUUGUCUCGGUGGAAGUGAUGAGGACGACACUUGUUGCAGAAGUGUGUUGACUGAUAAAGAUUUGUUUUUUUUUCUCUAUUGGUUGGGGCAGAGAAGGGUCAGUGAUUAAGCACAAGACAAGUGCUUCGUCUCUAGUUAUUGAUCCAAGUCGUGUAACUCAGCUCUCUUGGACUCCUAGGGUGUUUUUGUACAAGGGACUUCUUACUGAUGAGGAAUGUGAUCAUUUUAUCAAUCAAUCAAUCAUCUUCUUGAUUAUGCUUUUUGUUUGUUUGAGAACUUAGUGAUGAUGAUCAUGGAAUGUUUUGAGACUGUGUGACUAAAGUCAACUACUUUGUUUUUUUAGGUGAAAGGGAAACUUGAGAAGUCAAUGGUUGCGGAUAAUGAUUCAGGUGAGAGCGUGGCAAGUGGAGUGCACACUAGUUCUGGAAUGUUUCUUUCCAAAAGACAGAAGAUGAGUUUUGCAGAGAGAUAGAGCUUCUCGCCAGGCUGCAUCACCGCCAUCUAGUUGCUUUGAAAGGCUUUUGUGUUAAGAAGAACGAGAGGUUCCUUAUCUACAAAUAUAUGGCAAAUGGGAGCUUGACGGAUCAUCUACAUUGUAUGCUCAUGACUCCUAAAUUUUCUUGCUAUAUUGUAGGGCCUUAUGGGACACGGGAUUUUGAUGUCAAGCUGUUUCGGAAAUGUCCCGUAUCCAAACCCUUCUGUCCCCAUCAACAGAUUGUAAUCUCCCUCUUGCUUGAAACGUCAUCGGGCCGUUUCCGACGUGUCCCCGUUUCAGAGACAUUUCCAGUACACGAGAUGGCUACCAGUACACGUGCCCGUGCAACCUAGCAUUUCAUUUUAGUGAUAUAAAAGAAAAAAAAAUAUCAGAAACGGACAAAAUGAACCCACUAAUCCAUAUACAUAGUUUUAAAAUUUAUUUUCAAUCUCUCAAAAUACUUAUCAAAUCUUAUAUUCUUUAUAUUACCCGUGAUGUACAUUUCAUUUUUUAAUGGUAUUUUAGAAAAAAAAUCCUAAAAUAUGGACAUAAAAAAGCUGAAAUUCAGAAAACACAGUUUUAAAACUCAUUUUAAAUUUCUUGAAAAUCUCAGCAGUUCUUACAUUAUUUACAUUAUUCUUGAUAUAUAUAUAUAUAAUUUUAAAGCUAUUAUACAACAAUUUUCAUAAAAAACAGACACAAAUUACCUCUCUUUUGAGGUUCAAAACUUGUCAAUGGAAGGAAUGAGAAGUGAAGUAUGAUGGGGAAGAAGAAAGAGAGUGAGCCUGAGGUUGAUGGAAGUGUCGCAUCCAAGCAAGGUGUUCGGUUGGUUUUCACGUUGAUGGAAGUGUCGCAUCCAAGCAAGGUGUUCGGUUGGUUUUCACGGAUGGAUCCAGAAUCAUAUUUCGUUUGUCCGUAAGUUGUAGAUUCUUGUUUUCUUUUUCUUUUUAGUCAAAUUCAGAGUUUCAUAUGUAUAGAAGAGACUCAUUUGGCCCCUGUCACAGUGACCUAACUUACAAAAAUGUUGUUCUAGGGAACUGGUUCAGCUGGCCCUACGGUUCGAAUAUACAUUGAACAGUUUGAGCCAGA